rnacentral:rRNA from 1 species
CUUUACUGUAGCCUGGAAUUGGGUUCGGGCUUUGACUGCGCAGGAUAGGUGGGAGACUAAGAUCCAUUUCUUGUGGGGAAUGGGGAGUCAACGGUGAGAUACCACUCUGUCAAAGCUAGAACUCUAACCUUCAGCCGUGAUCCGGCGGAGGAACAGUUUCAGGUGGGCAGUUUGACUGGGGCGGUCGCCUCCUAAGUGUAACGGAGGCGCACAAAGGUUCCCUCAGGCUGGUUGGAAAUCAGCCGCAGAGUGUAAAGGCAUAAGGGAGCUUGACUGUGAGACUGACAAGUCGAGCAGGGUGGAAACACGGUCUUAGUGAUCCGACGGCUAUGAGUGGAAGUGCCGUCGCUCAACGGAUAAAAGUUA